rnacentral:rRNA from 1 species
AUUGAACGCUGGCGGCAGGCUUAACACAUGCAAGUCGAGCGGGGUGAUGGUGCUUGCACUAUCACUUAGCGGCGGACGGGUGGGUAAUGCUUAGGAAUCUGCCUAUUAGUGGGGGACAACAUCUCGAAAGGGAUGCUAAUACCGCAUACGUCCUACGGGAGAAAGCAGGGGAUCACUUGUGACCUUGCGCUAAUAGAUGAGCCUAAGUCGGAUUAGCUAGUUGGUGGGGUAAAGGCCUACCAAGGCGACGAUCUGUAGCGGGUCUGAGAGGAUGAUCCGCCACACUGGGACUGAGACACGGCCCAGACUCCUACGGGAGGCAGCAGUGGGGAAUAUUGGACAAUGGGGGGAACCCUGAUCCAGCCAUGCCGCGUGUGUGAAGAAAGCCUUAUGGUUGUAAAGCACUUUAAGCGAGGAGGAGGCUCUUUUGGUUAAUACCCAAGAUGAGUGGACGUUACUCGCAGAAUAAGCACCGGCUAACUCUGUGCCAGCCGCCGCAGUAA